UGUUGCGUAAAUGAAAAUGUUGGCUUAGUCGAGUAAUGUUUGGAAGAACUGUGGUUGAUAACUGCAAUGCAAGUGGAGGUUGGAAAUGAAGCUCGAAAUUUAAGAUGAAGGAGAGGAGAGUUUAGAAGAAAAAGUUAGAAGAAGACGGCACGAAGGAGAAUUUUACCAAAGGAGUGACGACGAAGAGACAUCAGGAUAAACUCGAAAAUGAAUAGAAGAUUUGUCUGGAUCAGAUAACCUCGACUGUGGACAAAGCAUGGUUCUUGACCAACUCUGCACAUCCUCAGGGAGGCUUUGGGACUAUGUUCGAACGAGUGAAGGCUUGGACUGUCAAGAUUGAAACUUUUAAAAAGACAUAAUUGCUAAGUAAUUGAUUCAAGGUGUCAGCAAAGAAAUUGAAACAUUUUGAUUUAUUCAAAUACCACCAUUAUGAAUUUGAUUUCUGCUGCUUGGCUCAGUGACCAUAUUCACCCAGAAUAUUUCAUUUUCGUACGUUAAAUGUGUUAUUGUAGAGAAAGGCUUACCCAGGUAUGUAUGGAAAUUAGCGUCCCUCGUUUAAUAUCACCUUUCAUCUCGUCAAUUAUGUCCUUCAGCAAACAUGCUAUAUCAGUUCACUUUUAUCUACUUAGAGUUGUGCUUUAACCUCUCGUGACCCAACUGAUACAAACAUGAGCAUUUAAUUUCCUUUAAUUGUAUUAUACAUCCCGGCUGCAUUAAGAUUAUGUGCAGGUUUGGUAAUUUUCUAGUCUGUUAUUUUAACAUUAUCUUUUGAAUAAAAAUUGCUAUUACUUUUCAAUAUUUUUUCAUCGUCUGAAACUGUUCACACCCUCGUUAAUAUUAUUAAUUACUUUCGAGCCUCAUAGUUUGGAAAAUCUGCCCUUUUUUUUACUUUCCAACGCCAAAAACUUGACGUUGUGAUACGAAAACGUAAAAUGCGUUUAUUGUAAUGUGUAAAUUUUCGAUAAGACUUCACGGAAAUAAAUAAUUGAACUUUGUCUUUUGACAGUUGUGUUGUGUUCUUUUUAAUUUCCUGGGGCUGUUUUCGGUGAUCUUUAGUUACUACAUGUGUUCGUCUUCUGACUUUAGGAGCUGGAGUUAAUCUACUUUUAUUUAAAUAAUUGCCUAGUUACGGCAGUGACGAUAUUGUUGUUUCAUGCGCCACACUAAAAAUGAUUGAAAAGCAGAGCAUUCGAUCUGUACUUUCGAAAACAUAUUUUGAAAUGUUUCACAGUUGACAAAACUUGAAGAAGAGGUUAUCGAGGUGGGCGGUAAAUCUCAUCCACAAUCUGUUCGCCAAGAAACCUUCCUCACUGGAACGUUCCUAACUGUUAUGUUAUGAUAUGGAAUUGAAAUAUUUCUUCAACGAAAUAGAAAUAAUUUUGGACUCUGGGACUUUCCCUUUCGUAGUUGUGGUCUACUGGUAACAACAUAAUCGGAAACAACUCUUUAUUGUCAAAACGUAAUGGAAGAGCGAAGAAGAGUGAGGGUUGCCAUCGAUUUGACUUCCAAGUUUCCCAUAAAAUCGCGUUUUCGCCAGGCGUCUAUUUUAUUCCGCGAAGAGUCUGGAACGAAUUUAGCCAAUUGGAAGAAUUCUCAGCGGAAUUACUUUGCUUAAUUUUCUCAUUUUGGUUACCAUGUGAGGCAAUUUCAUCUCUGAUUGGCGUGCAAAGGCAAAAAUUCUUUUGCUGAACGAUGAUUAGUUGUGAAAGAUAGCCUUGAAUGUUUUAAAUUGUGAAAGUGAUAUAGUUGUCUUCCGAGAAAACCUCCCGAUUCUUGGAACUGUCACGCAACGAUCGAAACAUUUGAAGAGACAUCUAUAAUAUGGUGCUCGGGAUGUUGGUUUGUGCCAGUAACAUAGGAAAAAGAAGAUAUCUGCAUAUAAGGGAAAGAUACUUUAUGAGAUUUGAAGUUGAAGUUGUCCUGCAGAUGCCUUGGUUUUGAAAAAUAAUAUGGAGCAAGAAACAGAUGCAAAGAGUGCAGAAAAACACCUCAAGAGGACUGCUUUGGCAUGUGGAUGUGCUGUCACACCACCAACUGCUUUUGUGGCUCCAUCCCAAAAUGUGUUUCUAUUACUUUGAGAUGAUCUUGGCUCCUAUAUACUAUAAAGAGAGAUGGAUAUAGGCGAGAA
rnacentral:misc_RNA from 1 species